AGAGUUUGAUCCUGGCUCAGGAUGAACGCUGGCGGCGUGCCUAACACAUGCAAGUCGAACGAAGCUUGACGGAUGAUUUCUUCGGAAUGAAACCAGAUAUGACUUAGUGGCGGACGGGUGAGUAACACGUGAGCAACCUGCCUUUCAGAGGGGGAUAACGGCUGGAAACGGUCGCUAAUACCGCAUGACGUGUUCGGAUGGCAUCAUCUGAACAUCAAAGAUUUAUCGCUGAAAGAUGGGCUCGCGUCUGAUUAGAUAGUUGGUGGGGUAACGGCCUACCAAGUCUACGAUCAGUAGCCGGACUGAGAGGUUGAACGGCCACAUUGGGACUGAGAUACGGCCCAGACUCCUACGGGAGGCAGCAGUGGGGAAUAUUGCACAAUGGGGGAAACCCUGAUGCAGCAACGCCGCGUGAAGGAUGACGGUUUUCGGAUUGUAAACUUCUUUUCUUAGUGACGAAGACAGUGACGGUAGCUAAGGAAUAAGCAUCGGCUAACUACGUGCCAGCAGCCGCGGUAAUACGUAGGAUGCAAGCGUUAUCCGGAUUUACUGGGUGUAAAGGGAGCGCAGGCGGGACUGCAAGUUGGAUGUGAAAUACCGUGGCUUAACCACGGAACUGCAUCCAAAACUGUAGUUCUUGAGUGAAGUAGAGGCAAGCGGAAUUCCGAGUGUAGCGGUGAAAUGCGUAGAUAUUCGGAGGAACACCAGUGGCGAAGGCGGCUUGCUGGGCUUUAACUGACGCUGAGGCUCGAAAGUGUGGGGAGCAAACAGGAUUAGAUACCCUGGUAGUCCACACCGUAAACGAUGAUUACUAGGUGUUGGAGGAUUGACCCCUUCAGUGCCGCAGUUAACACAAUAAGUAAUCCACCUGGGGAGUACGACCGCAAGGUUGAAACUCAAAGGAAUUGACGGGGGCCCGCACAAGCAGUGGAGUAU
rnacentral:rRNA from 1 species